ACCAUAGCUUCACCUGUGUCAGAAGAAACUUUAUAAAGAAAACUUCAUAAAGAAGAAAAAAGGGGGGAAAUCAGAUUAAGAAAGGAAAUAUUGUUAACCUGGGUAGGAAGAUGUCAAAUAGAAAGGCAAUAAUGAGCUCAUAAUUUUUGGAGGUGCUUGAUUUGGAAGACAAGGUAGGGGUUCAAAUAUAGAACCUGAGUUUUCUUUCUGGCAGUGAUACCCUAGUCAUGCAGGCCAUCCUUCUAAAACAGAGCCACAUUAUGGUUUGUCACCUGUGGAUGAAGAGAGUAGAUAACCUCCCUUAGCCUUUUAGAAGAGCCAAGACAAGCCAUGCAAGGGAGAGACAAGUCUCCAGGAAAAGGAGUUAGAAGAAGCUACUUCCCACUGACUGUCACUUUGGGUCACUGGAAAUACACAUGCCCAGGACAUGCGUAGAUGUUUUGGGGGAAGUUGGAGACAUUAACCCUGCAUGUUGCUGAGUGGAGAACAUUUCAAAGGCAAGGAGCAGUGAGAGAACCAGAAGCCAAUCAGAGUGAAGAGGAUGUUGGAAUUGGAACAGAGAGGGGGGAUGCCUAUAAAGACUAAAGGUUUGGGACUGUCUCUAUGCUAGCCGACUUCUGCCAAUCUGGGCAGGUAUUUACAACUCCAAGAGGACAAGAAGGGUCAGGUCAGUGCCCCACAUAGAAGGUGCUCGAUGUAUGUGUGAUGAGUGAAUAAGUGAAUCAUCGUUUGUCUGCUCUCCUGAAGAAUGACCAGUUUCUGUUAAGCUGUGCACACUUUCAAGUUACCCUCCUGCAUUCUGCUUCUCAUGAGUACAGCAAGGGGAAGAACUGAAUCAGGAAUCCCAGGAGCUGAGUUGUAGCUCCUGCUCCUUCAUUCAUUUGUUUCCCUGCCUUGGGAUCUAGAAAGAAUCUACAUUUUGAGGUUAGAACAAGCUGGUUUUGAACCAUUGCUCCACGUGACUGGGGGAUUUUAUUUAUUGUCAGAGAGAGAGCGUGCCGCAGGCAGAGGGAGAAGCAUCCUCCCUACUGAGCAAGGAGCCCGAUGUGGGACUCGAUCCCAGGACCCUGGGAUCAUGACCUAAGCCAAAGGCAGACGCUUAAUGACUGAGCCACCCAGGCGUCCCAAUUACUGAAACUUUAAAAUAAGUCUCAACAUCUGUUAAAGUCCUUUAAUUCUUGUCCUUCAAGAUUGGCAAACUUUUGCCCUUUGUAAAUUUACUUCAUUUUAGAAUUUGCUUGUCACUGUCUACCAAACAGCAACAACAAAAACCCACUUCCUGAAUUUUGACUGCAAGAAAUUUGAAUGGAAAGGUCAAUUUGGGGAGAAUAGAUAUGUUUAUUAUAUCUUCAUUAUAUUGUAAUAUAUUUUAUUCCUCUGAUUAUUUAAUGACCGCCCAUUGGCUAAAUAUGGUCCUCUGCCUGUUUUUGAAAAUGGAGUUUUGCUGGAGCACAGCCACACCCAUUUAUUACAUAUCGUCUGCAUUACAGGGCAGAGUUUGAUGGUUGUAGCAGAGACUAUCUAGCCUGCAAAGGUGAAAGUAUUUAAUAUUUGACCCUUUACAAAAAAUACUUGCUUGCCUCUCAUUUGAAUAUUGCUUAUUUCUUUUUAUAAUGUUUUGUAUUUUUCUGUGUGGGACUCCUAAGAUAUUUCCUUAGAUUAGUUUCUAAACAUGUAAUAUAUUUGGAUGUUGUUAUAGAUGAUAUAAUUUAAAUUUUCAUUUUAUGUUCUUUGAUGUUUAAAAAAUACUAUUGAUUUUUAUAUACUGACUUUGCAUCCAAUCUGUAGAUUCUUUUCAUUUUUUUGUGUAUAAAAUCUUAUCAGUUUUUAUUUCUUCUUUGCUACUUCUCAUAUAUAUUUAUCAAAUUGGUGAUAAUGGGAAUCCUUGUUUUGUUACUGAUAGUAGAGGGAGAAUUUUAACAUACCACUAUUAUGUAGGGCAUUUGCUGUUUGCUAUUUUGUUGAAAUAAUUUUCAUCAGAUUAAAGAAGUUUUUCUAC